GACGAACGCUGGCGGCGUGCCUAAUGCAUGCAAGUCGAGCGGGCUACGAUCUUCGGAUUGUAGCUUAGCGGCGAACGGGUGAGUAACACGUAGGUAAUCUACCCUUCAGAGGAGGACAACCUCAGGAAACUGAGGCUAAACCUUCAUACGUUCACUGGUAGGGAUACUGGUGAAGAAAGAGUUACCUUAGUGGUAGCUGCUGAAGGAUGAGCCUGCGGCCCAUCAGGUAGUUGGUGAGGUAACGGCUCACCAAGCCGAAGACGGGUAACCGGUCUGAGAGGAUGUCCGGUCACACUGGGACUGAGACACGGCCCAGACUCCUACGGGAGGCAGCAGCAGGGAAUCUUAGGCAAUGGACGAAAGUCUGACCUAGCGACGCCGCGUGAGGGAAGAAGGCCUUCGGGUUGUAAACCUCUGUCAUGGGGAAGAAGUAAGUGACGGUACCCAAGAGGAAGCCCCUGCUAACUACGUGCCAGCAGCCGCGGUAACGGAGUAGUACA
rnacentral:rRNA from 1 species